GGUUUCUUUGUGUACCCUUGGCUGUCCUAGAACUCACACUGUAGACCAGGCUGGCCUUGAACUCAGAAAUCCACCUGGCUCUGCCUCCCGAGUGCUGGGACUAAAGGUGUGCUCUACCACUGCCCG
rnacentral:miRNA from 1 species